rnacentral:rRNA from 1 species
ACUCCUACGGGAGGCAGCAGUGGGAAUAUUGCGCAAUGGGCGGAAGCCUGACGCAGCGACGCCGCGUGGGGGAUGACGGCCUUCGGGUUGUAAACCUCUUUCGCCAGGGACGAAGCUUUGGUGACGGUACCUGGAGAAGAAGCACCGGCCAACUACGUGCCAGCAGCCGCGGUAACACGUAGGGUGCGAGCGUUGUCCGGAAUUAUUGGGCGUAAAGAGCUCGUAGGCGGUUUGUUAAGCGAGAUGUGAAAGCCCGC